AGAAUAAAAAUGGCCCAGAACUGUCGUUCCGGGCCUAGGGGAAUGGCUCAUUGCUGAGCCGUGCGCUAACUUUUACAAGGGAGAAGUAUUGUGAAGUUAUUCACAACGGACUGUAACUAUAGAACAAAACCGCUCACUUUAUAAACAA
rnacentral:sRNA from 1 species